rnacentral:rRNA from 1 species
UAAUUUUGAACGAGUGGCGGACGGGUGAGUAACACGUGGGUAACCUGCCCUUAAGUGGGGGAUAACAUUUGGAAACAGAUGCUAAUACCGCAUAAAUCCAAGAACCGCAUGGUUCUUGGCUGAAAGAUGGCGUAAGCUAUCGCUUUUGGAUGGACCCGCGGCGUAUUAGCUAUUUGGUGAGGUAACGGCUCACCAAGGCAAUGAUACGUAGCCGAACUGAGAGGUUGAUCGGCCACAUUGGGACUGAGACACGGCCCAAACUCCUACGGGAGGCAGCAGUAGGGAAUCUUCCACAAUGGACGCAAGUCUGAUGGAGCAUCGCCGCGUGAGUGAAGAAGGCUUUCGGGUCGUAAAACUCUGUUGUUGGAGAAGAAUGGUCGGCAGAGUAACUGUUGUCGGCGUGACGGUAUCCAACCAGAAAGCCACGGCUAACUACGUGCCAGCAGCCGCGGUAAUACGUAGGUGGCAAGCGUUAUCCGGAUUUAUUGGGCGUAAAGCGAGCGCAGGCGGUUUUUUAAGUCUGAUGUGAAAGCCCUCGGCUUAACCGAGGAAGUGCAUCGGAAACUGGGAAACUUGAGUGCAGAAGAGGACAGUGGAACUCCAUGUGUAGCGGUGAAAUGCGUAGAUAUAUGGAAGAACACCAGUGGCGAAGGCGGCUGUCUGGUCUGUAACUGACGCUGAGGCUCGAAAGCAUGGGUAGCGAACAGGAUUAGAUACCCUGGUAGUCCAUGCCGUAAACGAUGAAUGCUAGGUGUUGGAGGGUUUCCGCCCUUCAGUGCCGCAGCUAACGCAUUAAGCAUUCCGCCUGGGGAGUACGACCGCAAGGUUGAAACUCAAAGGAAUUGACGGGGGCCCGCACAAGCGGUGGAGCAUGUGGUUUAAUUCGAAGCAACGCGAAGAACCUUACCAGGUCUUGACAUCUUUUGAUCACCUGAGAGAUCAGGUUUCCCCUUCGGGGGCAAAAUGACAGGUGGUGCAUGGUUGUCGUCAGCUCGUGUCGUGAGAUGUUGGGUUAAGUCCCGCAACGAGCGCAACCCUUAUGACUAGUUGCCAGCAUUUAGUUGGGCACUCUAGUAAGACUGCCGGUGACAAACCGGAGGAAGGUGGGGAUGACGUCAAAUCAUCAUGCCCCUUAUGACCUGGGCUACACACGUGCUACAAUGGAUGGUACAACGAGUUGCGAGACCGCGAGGUCAAGCUAAUCUCUUAAAGCCAUUCUCAGUUCGGACUGUAGGCUGCAACUCGCCUACACGAAGUCGGAAUCGCUAGUAAUCGCGGAUCAGCACGCCGCGGUGAAUACGUUCCCGGGCCUUGUACACACCGCCCGUCACACACAUGAGAGUUUGUAACACCCGAAGCCGGU